rnacentral:rRNA from 1 species
ACGCUCGACACCUACGAGGCAGCAGUCGGGAAUAUUGCGCAAUGGAGGAAACUCUGACGCAGUGACGCCGCGUAUAGGAAGAAGGUUUUCGGAUUGUAAACUAUUGUCGUUAGGGAAGAAAAAAAGACAGUACCUAAGGAGGAAGCUCCGGCUAACUACGUGCCANAGCCGCGGUAAUCUGAGCGGGCGUGGCAAGGC